AUUUCUUUUCUGUUAUAUAGAAGAGGAAUGUGGUCGACCAGGGGCAAAAUUGACAUUUCAAUCUCAAUUAUCAUUUUGCUCAGUCAUAUACUUUUAACGUGCUCAUUCUAGGUUAAUUUCAAGUUUCAACACACCAAGUCUAGAAGCAUCACUCUUUCAAAAUUAAUUUUGCUCUAUUCAUCUUGUAUCUCUCUGUUAUGAUUUUAAUUUUCUGAACAAACUAUCAACACCUCUGCUAAUUGUUUAAUGAUGGAGUGGGUUUCUAUUUAACUAUUUGAACUUAUAGUUAGCACUGCUGCAUAUAUUUAUGACUUACAGGUAAGUUCCCUAUCUGGGAAUUUUUCCUUUUCUCUUCGAAUUUCACAGGUUAUAUUUGCACCGCUAUGUGCAAUAGAAGUUUUUGAUGUUUAUUCUAGAGUUACUUGUGCAUUUAGCUUUUUUCUUAACUGAUUCUACUUACGCAUGUUUUAUUUUGAAUAUCUGGUGCCAACUUUCUCUCAAAGAUGUUCUUGAGAGGUCACAACAUUUUAGAAAUCUGAGCGGUCUACAAUGAGGUAUUGUUCUUGAGAUUUUUCCUUUUUAUCCUUCGUCCCCCAUUGCCGCCGGCCUCAAUGGAAAAAAUAGAAGGAAUUUAUUAAAGUCAACAGUAGUAUUUCUUGAGCCUUUGGCUCUUUUUUAAACUGAUUUUGCAUAUGCUUAUGCUCAUUGACUAUUUUCUGUCAAUUUGUUAGCCAUUGGUACUAAAGGAACUCAAUGGAAAUAGAAAAAGGCUCUGUGAACUAAACUCUCAAACGUCAGUAAUGCAUUUAUGUUCUAUCAAUUAUUCUGAUUGUUUUUUAUGGUAAUGUCUUCUUUGUUCUCCUGAGCAGAGAUUGGCAUUUUUGACUAUGUCGUUUUUUGGCAUAUUAUGGUCGAUAAAUUUAACGCACUACAUAAUAAUAUGAAUUUAAAAUGGAUAUUUAUUUUUGCUCAAUUAUGUCAAACUUUAAUUAAUCCUCUUUUUUAAUGGAAAAAUAAAGUUAUACUCUUUGAAUUGAUUUUUUGCUGUGGAUGGAGGAAUUAAUUACUUAAAUGGUCAGCUAAGUCAUGGAAAUAAUGUAGCAAAGUCACAUUUGUAUUUAGGAGAGAUUUAUUUUUCAUAUUGUGCUUGUUCACUAAAAAGCACGGCAAUAGCAUGGUUGUGAACUUCUGAUCCUUAUAUAUGUCAAUAAAUAACUGAUCACACUGAUUAUGACAAGAUGGUCGAAGAAGCUAAGAUGUACUACACCAAAGUUUCAUGAAGUCCUCCUUGAAAAUGAUUUUGUUGGAUCAUAACAAGAAAUCUAACAUAUCAUUGCAUAUAUGCUAUAUAUCAUUAUAUCUCAAAGGCCAAAGCUGAGAUUACAAUGAUGAGAUUAUUUAUUGAAUUUUUGGUAUCAAACAAAACUAACAAGUACUUAUUUUUAGCUUGAAAUUCAGAAGCGCUAAACUUCACGAGCACACAGGAUAAACAGAAUAAGGUCCUAGAGAAUUCUAGGAGUUAUCAAAGAUUGAUUAGCAAAAUUGUUUAUAGCCAUAGGGUACAAUUAUGAUGUUGGGUAUUAGAUUAUUACAUAGUAAAUGAUAAUUGACAUGAGGUUGUUCCCCUAUGUUCAGUUAAGUUGAAGUAGAUGUGAUGAUAUAAUUCAUCUCUGUAAAAGAAAAAAAGUUAAGUUGAAGUGAUGUAGUAGUGCAAAAGAUAUAUUUAUUUUUUCCAUCUUUCUCCUGUAGCUUUUUUCCAAAGAGCUAAAAUACAUGGCCUGUCAAAAGAUGAAAGCUCUCUUUCUUGAGAAGUUGCAAAGAAAGAUGGAAUGAGACCACCAACACUAGACAUUUUUUCAUCUCAACUCAUGCUUAUUAGUCGUUGAUGUUGGUUUAAACUAGCUACUCUUGGAAGAGGUUAUGUUAUGCUAAUUGUUAUACUCCAUCGUCUUACACAGUUGAUAUUUUAUAAUAAAUCGAUUUAAGUGAAAAUUGAGCUUUUGUUAGUUCUUUGGUUGCCUUCAAUAUGAUCCUUAUGUGUUCAAUAAUAUGCUAUAAAAAGGGGAUACAUAAAGAUCAAAUAGUUUCCUACCAAGCAAUGUUUCAAUUAUAUGUCUACUUGAAAGUAGUUUUAAAUAUGCAAACUUGUGCAUAGCAGAUUCUUAUACCUUUCUACUGCUCUUAAAGAAAUCAAAGACGAUGCUUCACAUAUUACGAUGAUACUGACCUUCCGUUACUAACGUCACAUCCUUUAGAAUGUUUAAGUAUUCUUGCUAUUAACAACUUUAGAUUUUUGUAAUUAUUAUUAUUAUUAUUAUUAUUUUCUGUAUUAGGUAGACGAAUUAUGGAUUAGCUUCACAAGCUAUUAGUGAUUCCAAGAGAUAAUCUCAGCUAUCAUAAAUAUGUCAAACCCAAAAAUUAUAUUCCUUCUUCUUGUGAUCCUUAACCACCCAAAGCUGCAAAGAUAUUUUCAAUUCAUACUUUCAUUUUUAUAUUUCUUCUUUCAAGAUAUUAAAGUACAUUCUUUUUUUUCCGAUUUAUUCUUAAAAGUUCUUAUUGCUUUCAGUGUGGUGGCAGCGAGAAGAGAGCAGGAAGGGUACGUACAACUUCAAAUUUAGAGAAAGAAGUGCCAAAAGCACCAGAUCCACAGAAUGCAAGAAAACGUGGACUUAGAUUUUUAAUUAUGGGGGUAUUUGGGUCCGAGAACCUCAAUUGGUCUAUAUUAAAAAAUUAAUACACGUGGAAAAGGUGUGAUGCUGACCUACUGUCAUAUAGUGAUAUCUGUCAAGAAUACGAGGAAGAGCUCGGGUUUAGUGAGGUGAAGCAGUUGUUAGUUACGGGGCUAAACUGAAAGCUAAAAGAGCCAUGCUCCAGGACAAUUACAAGUUAAACAGAGGCGGAUUCAGGAUUUUUACGGGAUGAGUGCACUAUUAAGAAGAGGUGGAUCCAGAAUAUAAAUUUUACGGGUUCAACCUUUAGUUCUUAUGAUUCCGUACCUAUUGUACUUUUGGAAUUAUAAGUUCAAUUUUUUUUAAAUAGUAAUUUUCUUACAUCUAUAUCUAUUUUUCAUCUUGAAAAUA